AUGCUGAAACGCAGUUGCUGAGAAGAAAAGCAUGGCUGAAGAGCUGCCUUGUAAAAUCCUCCUGGUUUUCGCUUCGAUGGCAUUGGUAAACGGUUUAUUCACAUGGACAAUGGGUAAGAGCUGCAGACGGGAUAUAAGACAGUUUUUAUGCACCAAGGAACGUGUAUGGACAUACAACACGAGCACAAGCGAGUAUGUUCGAUGUAAAUUCGACCAGGUGGCGACUAUCGCUAGCGCAUCUGUUCUCUUCAAGCGGUAUUAUUUCCAUGAUGAGCAACACCACUGGACCGCCAAGCGCCUCCAGGGAAUCUUCUCUAAGGAGCAAAGAGACGUCAUGCAAGUUCGCAACAUGGAUAAUGUGAUCAUCGACAAGGAGCAAAUGCUUUAUCUAAGCCGAAAGUAGUCGCUGCGCCGUAAUCAAGGUGACGCAAGCACACCUUGGUCGAGAACCAUAUUAUGAAUUGCGGAUCGGGGAUACAUAUGUAAAGCAGGGCCCUAAUUUAAAAUGUGUGAUACAAUUCCAGAAGCAUGCACAUAAGGGAAAGAUUAUUUAUGGACCGGUGUGUGAGAAUAUCCUUCUGAUUAAGUGAAAUCUACUAUUGACCUCUUAAGAAAAAGUACCCUUUAAAUAUCGCGUGAUCUCCUGUCUUGCGAAAAGAAACUUCGACACAAUAAAAUUCAAAUCCACUUAAGUAUAA